rnacentral:rRNA from 1 species
AGAGUUUGAUCCUGGCUCAGGAUGAACGCUAGCUACAGGCUUAACACAUGCAAGUCGAGGGGCAGCAUGGUCUUAGCUUGCUAAGGCCGAUGGCGACCGGCGCACGGGUGAGUAACACGUAUCCAACCUGCCGUCUACUCUUGGACAGCCUUCUGAAAGGAAGAUUAAUACAAGAUGGCAUCAUGAGUCCGCAUGUUCACAUGAUUAAAGGUAUUCCGGUAGACGAUGGGGAUGCGUUCCAUUAGAUAGUAGGCGGGGUAACGGCCCACCUAGUCUUCGAUGGAUAGGGGUUCUGAGAGGAAGGUCCCCCACAUUGGAACUGAGACACGGUCCAAACUCCUACGGGAGGCAGCAGUGAGGAAUAUUGGUCAAUGGGCGAGAGCCUGAACCAGCCAAGUAGCGUGAAGGAUGACUGCCCUAUGGGUUGUAAACUUCUUUUAUAAAGGAAUAAAGUCGGGUAUGCAUACCCGUUUGCAUGUACUUUAUGAAUAAGGAUCGGCUAACUCCGUGCCAGCAGCCGCGGUAAUACGGAGGAUCCGAGCGUUAUCCGGAUUUAUUGGGUUUAAAGGGAGCGUAGAUGGAUGUUUAAGUCAGUUGUGAAAGUUUGCGGCUCAACCGUAAAAUUGCAGUUGAUACUGGAUAUCUUGAGUGCAGUUGAGGCAGGCGGAAUUCGUGGUGUAGCGGUGAAAUGCUUAGAUAUCACGAAGAACUCCGAUUGCGAAGGCAGCCUGCUAAGCUGCAACUGACAUUGAGGCUCGAAAGUGUGGGUAUCAAACAGGAUUAGAUACCCUGGUAGUCCACACGGUAAACGAUGAAUACUCGCUGUUUGCGAUAUACUGCAAGCGGCCAAGCGAAAGCGUUAAGUAUUCCACCUGGGGAGUACGCCGGCAACGGUGAAACUCAAAGGAAUUGACGGGGGCCCGCACAAGCGGAGGAACAUGUG